GGUGCUGCAUGGCUGUCGUCAGCUCGUGUCGUGAGAUGUUGGGUUAAGUCCCGCAACGAGCGCAACCCUUAUCUCUAGUUGCCAUCGGGUCAAGCCGGGCACUCUAGCGAAACCGCGUAGGAUAACUACGAGGAAGGUGGGGAUGACGUCAAGUCCUCAUGGCCUUUAUGUCCAGGGCUACACACGUGCUACAAUGCGCGGUACAAAACGUCGCAAACCCGUGAGGGGGAGCUAAUCGGAAAAAGCCGCGCUCAGUUCGGAUUGGAGUCUGCAAUUCGACUCCAUGAAGCUGGAAUCGCUAGUAAUCGCAGAUCAGAACGCUGCGGUGAAUACGUUCCCGGGCCUUGUACACACCGCCCGUCACAUCACGAAAGUGGACUGCACUAGAAGUCGGCGUGCUAACCGCAAGGAGGCAGCCGCCCAAGGUAUGG
rnacentral:rRNA from 1 species